CCUACGGGGGGCAGCAGUGAGGAAUAUUGGUCAAUGGCCGAGAGGCUGAACCAGCCAAGUAGCGUGCAGGACGACGGCCCUACGGGUUGUAAACUGCUUUUGCGGGAGGAUAAAGUGCACUACGUGUAGUGCUUUGCAGGUAUCCCGUGAAUAAGGACCGGCUAAUUCCGUGCCAGCAGCCGCGGUAAUACGGAAGGUCCGGGCGUUAUCCGGAUUUAUUGGGUUUAAAGGGAGCGCAGGCGGAGGUGCAAGCGUGCCGUGAAAGCGCGGGGCUCAACCCCGUACAGCGGCGCGAACUGCUCCCCUUGGUUGCGGGAAGGGAAGGCGGAACUCGUGGUGUAGCGGUGAAAUGCAUAGAUAUCACGAAGAACUCCGAUCGCGAAGGCAGCCUUCCGGCCCGUCAACGACGCUCAUGCUCGAAGGCGCGGGUAUCAAACAGGAUUAGAUACCCCUGUAGUC
rnacentral:rRNA from 1 species